ACUGAGAUACUUGGCUGAUUAUUAUUUGUACUUUUUUGAAGAUUAUCAACAAAGUACAAAUUAGAUAUAAAAGUGCUACAGAAUAUCGCCAAAACUUGCCGCUUUCGAAAGCAACAGGAUUACCCGACUUGGAAACUAAGAGCUUAUCCAUUUCACUAAGUACAAAGAGAAGCCAAACGGCUAGAGUUUGAAGAUCGGAACUACUCUAUUACAAAGGAAAAAUACUUAAUUUCAAGGACUGAAUAGAAAUCAUUCAAACAACACUACAUAGGUCGACAGAGCAUGAUUUAAGUAUAAAGACCAUGGCACGCACUUGCUUCGAUGGCGUGGCUGUUUGACCGCAACGGAUGCAGAAACAGCUAAGUGUAAUAUACUAUAGAACGAAGACAAUAACGUUUAUAUUUCCAACACAAAAAUCAAGCAUAAUGUGUGAAAGCUGAUAUUUAAGCAGUAAAAUUUAGUUUUGUUAAAAUCAUAAUGCUUACGUGCUUGUAAUGAAAGUAAAUGCAAAUUGCUGGAUGACACGGAUCCUCAGGUAAAGUAAGAGGCAGACAGUAAUUUACAGCUAUCUCCGGGAAAUUGGUAAAGCAAAUAUUAGAUAAUCUGUCAUUACACUUAUAAGUACGGUGAUAUUAAAGCAAAUUAAGGCAAAAUAAUUCAUUGGAAAACAGAACAGCUUUAUCCAAUGUUGAAGCAGGGCCUGAAUGAUCACUAUAAUACCAAGUUACUCAUUGCAAACUAAAAAUAAAAAACGCUAUAACGAUAUCCGUAGAUUUAGACUUUUUGGCCACGUCACUAAUGAGGAAAGAAAGUUUCUUAUAAAUAGAGAUAUCCCCAAGUUACAUAUAACUGUUCACCGCCAAUGGCAAUAAAUUCAACGUCAGUAGGAGUGGGACAUUUGAAUAAAGAGGACAGGAUUGCAGCAGAUAUUGCGAUGAAAACCACCACCAGUGUGAUCUAACCGAUCCUUUCUGAAAAUUUGGAAAGAAUUGUGGAAAAGUUGCGACGAAUAUUAAUCAGGUUUUUAACCAGGUUAUAGUGAAAGGCAAAUAGGAAAACUCCGUGCUCCGUAGAAAAGGAGAUUGAAUUUUUGAGUUUAGGCCGCUAAGAUUUUGGUUGACGAAAUUUAUCGGGCCUUAAGAUGUAUGAAGGCUAAUAUUAAUCUGGCACCAAUCAAUUUUAAAAAAAAGACAAAAUAUAUAUAUGAAUUCAAAAAUAAUAAUAACACAUCUACGACUCAGACAGUGAUGGGAACUUAUGCAAUCAAGUUGAACUUGGGAGUCCUAUUAAUUUUGUGCGCGAAGCAAUAACGACAACUCACAAUUUGGCUACAUA